rnacentral:rRNA from 1 species
GAUGAACGCUGGCGGCGUGCCUAAUACAUGCAAGUCGAGCGAACGGACGAGAAGCUUGCUUCUCUGAUGUUAGCGGCGGACGGGUGAGUAACACGUGGAUAACCUACCUAUAAGACUGGGAUAACUUCGGGAAACCGUAGCUAAUACCGGAUAAUAUUUUGAACCGCAUGGUUCAAAAGUGAAAGACGGUCUUGCUGUCGCUUAUAGAUGGAUCCGCGCUGCAUUAGCUAGUUGGUAAGGUAACGGCUUACCAAGGCAACGAUGCAUAGACGACCUGAGAGGGUGAUCGGCCACCCUGGAACUGAGACACGGUCCAGACUCCGACGGGGGGACGCAGUAGGGAAUCUUCCGCGAUGGGCGAAAGCCUGACGGUGCACCGCCGCGUGAGUGAUGAAGGUCUUCGGAUCGUAAAACUCUGUUAUUAUUGAAGAACAUAUGUGUAAUUAACCGUGCACAUCUUGACGGUACCGGAUCAGAAAGCCCCGGCUAACUUCGUG